UACGGGGGGGGCAAGCGUUGUUCGGAAUUACUGGGCGUAAAGGGCGCGUAGGCGGCCACCGCAAGUCGACUGUGAAAUCUCCGGGCUUAACCCGGAAAGGUCAGCCGAUACUGCGGGGCUAGAGUGCAGAAGGGGCAACUGGAAUUCUCGGUGUAGCGGUGAAAUGCGUAGAUAUCGAGAGGAACACCUGCGGCGAAGGCGGGUUGCUGGGCUGACACUGACGCUGAAGUGCGAAAGCUAGGGGAGCGAACGGG
rnacentral:rRNA from 1 species